CAAGCCUUCCUGGGCUAUUGCAAGACAUUCUUCAAACUAUCUCAAAAUCCAUUUGAGUGCUGGAGGAAUCCAGGGCGGUAUCAUGUUGUCAGUUAUUUUAUUUCCGGCCCACUGCUCCCCAAGCCUGGCUGUUAUUCUAUUACCUGUAAGCGGAGUCUCCUGCCUCUCCUCUCCUGUGUGCUGGCCCGCCAGUCUAUAAAGGGAGGCUGGCAGUCAGUCCAUCCUCUAUGCUGAGGGCCAUUGGAGCAAGGAUGCACGGUCCUCAGGAACUGGCCAAAGGCCCAGCAUUUCCACACCAGGUCCUUCACUGAUUUGUAAAAUUUCAAAGCUGAAAGAGCUCUUAAGGGGCAUUCAGGACAAACUCUCCACUUGACACAGGGGGAAUGGGAUUCCAGAGGGUGUUAGGGCAGUGAGGUAGAACGGUGGAAUGGAAGAAAUCCACGUGGCAAGUUGGAACUUUGAACUUCAAUUGUCACUCUGCACAACUCGGGAUAAAAAUUGUGCUUUCUCUUAGCCUCCGUUUCUUCAUCUUAAAGUGAAGAUCGUAACAGUCACCAGCAUUUAGAGAGCACUCGUGUGCGGGCACGUUACAUCGUUUAAUUAAUAGCGCUCUUGGAUAGAAUUCGUAUCGUCCACUCUUCAGAUGAAAGUAUCGACAGAGAAGUUCUUUUUUGUGGCCCGAGGUCACAAGAAACAGUGCAGAUUUCAGCCCAGGACAUCUGACUUCUCUAGUUCAGCAAACUCUGGCCCACUGUCUUUUUUUUUAAAACAGCUUUAUUGGGAUGUCACUCACAUAACGUACAUACCCUUCAUAUCUUUAGAGUAUACAGUUUGUUGGGUUUUAGUAUAUUCAGAGUUGUGUGUACCCAUCAUCAAAAUCAAUUUUCAUCUACCUACGAAUAAAACCUGGUACCUCUUA